rnacentral:rRNA from 1 species
AAUCUUGCGCAAUGGGCGAAAGCCUGACGCAGCAACGCCGCGUGAGUGAUGAAGGUCCNUGGAUCNUNAAGCUCUUUCGGCUGGGNCGAACCGCUUCGUGGCUAAUAUCCACGAGGCUUGACGGUACCAGCAGAAGACGCACCGGCUAACUCUGUGCCAUCAGCCGCGGUAAUACAGAGGGUGCGAGCGUUGUUCGGAAUUAUUGGGCGUAAAGCGCGCGCAGGCGGGAUUGCAAGUCGGAUGUGAAAGCCCUCGGCUCAACCGAGGAAGUGCGUUCGAAACUGCAGUUCUUGAGUGUCGGAGAGGGUGGCGGAAUUCCUGGUGUAGAGGUGAAAUUCGUAGAUAUCAGGAGGAACACCGGAGGCGAAGGCGGCCACCUGGACGAACACUGACGCUGAGGCGCGAAAGCGUGGGGAGCAAACA